AAAUAUUGAAUUCAGGAUUCUUACUAAUUAAUGGAUAUAACAAUUAUUGGAUUGUGUUCUAUGCCAAGCUUCCUUUGCUUUUAAUAAUAUUUUAAAACAUAAGUUAAAUAAUAUUUUAAAUACAUGUAUCUUAAGAUUUUAUAAAUUAUUUCAGGAAUUGUACAAUUUGAAACCAGAUUCUAUUGUCCUAACAAGCAUUGUGGUCGAAAUUACAAAAACAAAUGUAGUCUGACAUAUCAUAUGAAUAACGAAUGUGGGAUAAACCCAAAAUUCAAAUGUCAAUUUUGUCCGAAGACGUCUAGCCGAUAUUCAAAUUUAAAACGACAUAUGAUAUCUGUACACAAGUAUAUUGACAACCAGUCUAAUAUAAUUGAAACUUUGGUAACUGAACAAAAUUAAAAUUGUUAUGCCUAAUUAUCAUAUCAAUGUAUCCAUAUUGUUACCUAUUAUUAUUAAAUUAAUUUAUAUUGAAUAAUGAUCAUAUAUGUAGUUAUAAUCAAUUUAUUUACUGCUGUUAACAAUAGUAAAAUAUGUGUGGAAAAACAUAAUUUAAUGAGCAAAAUUCUCAUUGAUGACCUAUUUUUAAAAUUUUAUUUAAGAUGUUCAUUAACUUUAGAAAAUCAUUAUAAAAUUGUUUUAGUUAAUUAUCGUUUUGAAUUUAAAAAUACUGUUUAGUGGCCAAGACUUAAUCAAUUUAAUGGAUAAUAAACAAUAAAAUAUAAUUUAAUUUGUUUAUAUUUCUUCUAACAAAACAAAAUUUACUGUUUUAAAUUUUCUAAGAACACAUCAGCUUAGUUCUGUAGUCACAAAAAUUUGAAAUUCUAAAGUAUUGUGGUUGAAAUGAUCAAAAACAAUGUGCUUAAUAGAUUUUAAGUUUGUUUUUUUUAUAUUUUACAAUUAUUCAUUUAAAAAUCAUAGGCAUUGCCUAAAAUAUAAGUAUUGAAUUAUCCAAAAUAAAGUUCCUAAAUAAAUAUAUUUAUAUUAUAUAUUUGAUUUUAAUUUGUAAAAUAUUUAAUUGCAUUUAUUUGUUAGUUGUAUCAUUUAUUUAAGAAUUGAAAAUAUUAAAUUGUAAAAAAUAUAUAACUAAAUUAUUAUUAAUUUAAUAUAACUGUAAAUAUGUCUACUUAUAUGUUAAACAUUUAUAGUGUUUUGUUAGUUAUUUAUUUAAGAUUAUCUUUUCGGGUCAUAUUUUCAUCAUGUAGAUUUCUCAAACAGUAUUACUACCCUUAUAGUAUAUUAUAUUUUAUUAAAAACUUAUAGUUUGGGGUUCAUAAAUACACAUUUACAUUAUUUUUUUGAAAAACGUUUACCAAAUUAUUGUUUUAGUAUAUUACAUAUUAUAUUUGGUGUAUUAUUUUAUUGAUAUUUUUUAAUGUUAAAUUUUAAUACUAGAAUUUAAGUGUGAUGCAUGCAACUAUAUAAUACCACAGAUUUUGAUACCACAAUAAUAUAUUCAUAAUUCAUUAUGUGGAUUAAAAUAUGUUAUACAAUUAAGCAUGUUUGACUCAUCUGGAAUUGAUAAUAAAAUGUUUGAAAUGACUCAAAACUAAUUAUGUAGAUACAUAUUUUAUAAUCUUUGAAUUCUGAGCGGAAAGUGAGCAGGAGUUUUUUUUAUUAUUUCCUUUUUGUUAAUAUGUUUUUUUUUUAUUGAAAAAUCUUAUUUUAACAUCAAAAAGCAAGCACUUGUUUCUAAAAAUCUUGAAUAUUUUUUACUAAAUUAAAAUUACGCUCAGAAUUUUUUUUUAUAAUACAGUGAUGUAUUAUAGAUUUCAAAAUUGUUUUUUUUUUUUGCUUUAUGUUUGUGCACUUGAAUAAAAAUUUUAAUUUUGUUGUGUUUAAAUUCGGUCCUUGUUUUUUUGUUUGUUUUUUAUUUUUUAGGUUUUUAUUAUUGUGAUGGAUGUCGGCGUAAAUAUCGUAAUAUGGGAAGCUUAAUUAGACACAAACGAUAUGAAUGCGGUCUUGAGCCUCAGUUUCGUUGUGAUAUAUGUAUGAAAUCAUUUACUCGCAAUACAACACUUAGAGAUCAUCGGUUUAAUAUGCAUAAUAAUUUACCUAGUCAUUUAUAAAAAGUAUCUAUCAAUUGUUUUUUUUUUAUAAUGAUUUUUGUUUAAAACCUAUAUGUUAUUAUAUGUUUUUUUCUUGUAAACACCAAUUGGAAUAUGAAUUUAAUUACAUUUUAUUGAUAGAUAUGUUUAUUACUUUAUUAUUAUUGUUAUAACUAUAAUAUAAUAAUACACUAUGAAGGAAAUUGGUUAACCAUGUUGAAUAAUGUAUAUAAUGUGACGUGAGUAUGUGAGUAAGUGAUUAUUUAAUAUUGUUUAUUGAAAUUAAAAUUUAUUAAAAAGUAAACUUUUAAUGAUAUAAAACAGAUUUUAUAAUAUUGCUAAUGAUUAUAUGUAUGAUGUUUUAUUAUAAAGCUUGUAUAAGUUAUUUGUUGUUAUCUUAAUAUAAUAUGUUUAUGAUAAGUUUAACAAUUUUGAAAUACUUUUCUAUAUACUACAUACAAAGCCAUUUUACAAUUAUUCAUGGCACAAUAUAAAUAUUAUAAAAAACCAAGAAAAUCAAAACAUUUAAUUACAAAGCCUAAAAAAAAUAUUUUUUUACCAAUAAUCUAAAAAAAUAUUAGCUACUUAUUUGCAAUUAAUUAAAAAAAUUAAUACAUUUUAAUUAAACUUUUAAAAUAUUUUAAUAUGCAUGAUUUGUAUACUGUUACUUAUAUGUAUAUGUUAAUAUAAAAAAACAUUGUUUUAUUUUUGUAAGGAAUGUAUUACCUUAGGUCAAGCUAAUCAAAAUAUCAAUAUUUGUUACUGAUUUUAUUAUUUUACCAGUUUCAUCUAGGCUUUAUUUUAUAUACUAAUAAUAUUUUUAUCUUCUUUAUAUAUAUAUUUACUAACAUAUAUAUUUUAUCAAAGGUAUUCAAGCUAUGUAUUGUGACUUUGUAAGGGGAUAGUGUUGGUCAGUGGCAUGGAAGAAAAUAAAAUAGUAAAUGGUAUGACAUUUUCAUUUGAAGAUCCAAAUAUCAAAGUUAUUUAAAUUAAAUAAGCUGCAAUUAAUGUUAAUUUUCUAAUACAUAGUAUGAAGACAACAGACGACAGAUAAUAAAUGAUUAUAAUGUCAUUUUAAUGCACAAAUUAUUAAACCACAUAUUUGUCCAAAAUGCAGUCGAUCAUAUCAAAGAAAAAACAGUGUUGCACGACAUUUGAAGUAUGAAUGUGGCAUAGAACCUCAAUUCCAAUGUUUUUAUUGUCUUAAAAAAUUUGCUCAAAAAUGCAAUCUUAAAUACCAUGUCUGUUAUUCAUUAAUUUAAGUUUUAAUUCCAAUAAAAAUAUUAUUUAUGUAUAUUUAAAAAUACUAA